GUGGGGAAUCUUCCGCAAUGGACGAAAGUCUGACGGAGCGACGCCGCGUGAGUGAAGAAGGCCUUCGGGUCGUAAAGCUCUGUCAUCAGGGACGAAUGGCCGGUGGAGUGGAAAGCCACCGGAUUGACGGUACCUGAGAAGGAAGCCACGGCUAACUACGUGCCAGCAGCCGCGGUAAUACGUAGGUGGCAAGCGUUGUCCGGAAUUAUUGGGCGUAAAGCGCGCGCAGGUGGGAUCUUAAGUCCAUUUUGAAAGUUCGGAGCUCAACUCCGUGAUGGGAUGGAAACUGGGAUUCGUGAGUACCGGAGAGGAAAGCGGAAUUCCCCGUGUAGCGGUGAAAUGCGUAGAUAUGGGGAGGAACACCAGUGGCGAAGGCGGCUUUCUGGACGGUGUCUGACACUGAGGCGCGAAAGCCAGGGGAGCGAACGGGAUUAGAUACCCGAGUAGUCC
rnacentral:rRNA from 1 species